GAUUUCUGGACUGAAGCAUUUAGCCGGCCGCGGUUUCGCGUGUUAGUGCUGGAUGCUCUGUCCAUCCUUCCAAUCGCUAUUGGCUAUUCUUCAUUGAAUGGUCAGUAGUAUUGGAUCUUUUACUUUGAAAAAAUUAGAGUGUUUCAAGCAGGCUUUUUGCUAUGAAUACAUUAGCAUGGAAUAAUAAUUUAGGACUUCGGUUCUAUUUUGUUGGUUUCUAGGACUGAAGUAAUGAUUGAUAGGGAUAGUUGGGGGUGCUAGUAUUCAGCGGCCAGAGGUGAAAUUCUUGGAUUCGCUGAAGACUAACUUAUGCGAAAGCAUU
rnacentral:rRNA from 1 species